UGAUGAUGCAUGACGGAUGCUGUUUUUUAUCGAAGUCCAUUCAUUCAGUUUUCUGUAACCAAUCUUGAAGGAUUGAAUAUUACCUUUUCGGCAGCUGACAACUUUCGAGGAGCUGAGAUGUUUCUCCUAAAAACAUCCGCCGACUGGGGAGUUUAAAGUGGGACCGGCAGAUGAAAGCAUCCCGUCGGCAGACAUAUUGACUUGCGGUACGCUUAUGGAGCACUCCCACAUAAACAUGUCCGCUCUACGGCUCACGGGUGGAAUAACACAGUGGUGCCUUGAGAUAUGAGUGACUCAACUUA